UGUCCUCGGCAGAUUUAACCAGGUGUUAUCUUAUGCAAACUUUAUCACCAUCAGAUGAAGAUGACCAGCCUGUCGCCGAGAGUGAGACCCCUUCGCUGGAGGAACAGACUUUUUUCCGUCUCCAAAAGACCGGAGAGUCACGAAGCGAGACAAUAACGCCCAGAAGUUACUGAAAUGAAUCGAGCUUGCAGAAGAAGAAACGGAAUGAACGCUAGCAGCGUUAGCCUUCACCGCAGAGGGAAGGAAGGGAAGCAGAAGAUGAAAUGGAGAAAAGACAAAGGUGAUGAAAGAGAGGUCCAGACAUGAAGGAGACACAAAUUCAAACGCGCACACAUGCAGCGGCACUAAGAGUCUGUCUGCGGUCUCCCCCCACCCUGCCUCACACACACAUACCUGUUACGGGCAGCAGAUAUGGAGGAAGACGCCUUUCCAGCUGUGAGGAGACAGAAAAAGUCAACACACACUCACAUAAACACACACACACACACUGAGCCGGAGGCACAUGAGCAGGUGAGCAUUAAGUCAGGCAGCUAAACAGAUCACGUCGCGGUAUGAUAUCUGUAGACAGGCAGACAGGAGGAGGCCGGUCUCUACCUGCAGGCAGAGAGCAACAACUCACAGCACCUUCGCCAGGAAUGUCCUCCCCCUCCUGAGAGGGAGAGAAAGGGAGAGGGACAUACAGAAUGAAGGGGAGACACAC